AUUGAACGCUGGCGGCAGGCCUAACACAUGCAAGUCGAACGAGCGGCGGACGGGUGAGUAAUGUAUGGGAAACUGCCCGAUGGAGGGGGAUAACUACUGGAAACGGUCGCUAAUACCGCAUACCAUCGGAUGUGCCCAUAUGGGAUUAGCUAGUAGGUGGGGUAACGGCUAACCUAGGCGACGAUCCCUAGCUGGUCUGAGAGGAUGAACAGCCACACGGGAACUGUGAAACGGUCCAGACUACUAGGGGAGGCAGCAGUGGGGAAUAUUGCACAAUGGGCGAAAGCCUGAGGCAGCCAUGCCGCGUGUAUGAAGAAGGCCUUCGGGUUGUAAAGUUCUUUCAGCGAGGAGGCGUUACUCGCAGAAGAAGCACCGGCUAACUCCGUGCCAGCAGCCGCGGUAAUAC
rnacentral:rRNA from 1 species